rnacentral:rRNA from 1 species
AGAGCGAACGCUGGCGGCAUGCUUAACACAUGCAAGUCGCACGGUCAGGUUUCGGCCUGGUAGUGGCGGACGGGUGAGUAACGCGUAGGUAUCUAUCCGAAGGUGGGGGAUAACGGCGGGAAACUGCUGCUAAUACCGCAUAUGACCUGAGGGUCAAAGGUCGCAAGACCGCCUGUGGAGGAGCCUGCGUACGAUUAGCUUGUUGGUGGGGUAAAGGCCUACCAAGGCGACGAUCGUUAGCUGGUCUGAGAGGAUGAUCAGCCACAUUGGGGCUGAGACACGGCCCAAACUCCUACGGGAGGCAGCAGUGGGGAAUAUUGGACAAUGGGGGCAACCCUGAUCCAGCAAUGCCGCGUGUGUGAAGAAGGUCUUCGGAUUGUAAAGCACUUUCGACGGGACGAUGAUGACGGUACCCGUAUAAGAAGCCCGGCUAACUUCGUGCCAGCAGCCGC